rnacentral:lncRNA from 10 species
ACAGUUUCCUGCUGAAAGGGCUACUAUUCUUACUCCCAUCCCCACUCUACAGAUGAGGUAAUGGAGGCCCAGGAAAGUUAAGUGACUUGUCCCAGAUGACACCGCUGGUGGGGUUUCCAUAGGAAAAAGCUGCUUCUCUGUUUCCCCAGCCUAGCAACUGUUUGGCAGUCAGAGUCCCACAUCCUGCUCAACUGGGUCAGGUCCCUCUUAGACCAGCUCUUGUCCAUCAUUUGCUGAAGUGGACCAACUAGUUCCCCAGUAGGGGGUCUCCCCUGGCAAUUCUUGAUCGGCGUUUGGACAUCUCAGAUCGCUUCCAAUGAAGAUGGCCUUGCCUUGGGGUCCUGCUUGUUUCAUAAUCAUCUAACUAUGGGACAAGGUUGUGCCGGCAGCUCUGGGGGAAGGAGCACGGGGCUGAUCAAGCCAUCCAGGAAACACUGGAGGACUUGUCCAGCCUUGAAAGAACUCUAGUGGUUUCUGAAUCUAGCCCACUUGGCGGUAAGCAUGAUGCAACUUCUGCAACUUCUGCUGGGGCUUUUGGGGCCAGGUGGCUACUUAUUUCUUUUAGGGGAUUG